rnacentral:rRNA from 1 species
UACGAAGGGGGCUAGCGUUGUUCGGAAUUACUGGGCGUAAAGCGCACGUAGGCGGAUAUUUAAGUCAGGGGUGAAAUCCCAGAGCUCAACUCUGGAACUGCCUUUGAUACUGGGUAUCUUGAGUAUGGAAGAGGUAAGUGGAAUUGCGAGUGUAGAGGUGAAAUUCGUAGAUAUUCGCAGGAACACCAGUGGCGAAGGCGGCUUACUGGUCCAUAACUGACGCUGAGGUGCGAAGGCGUGGGGAGCAAACNGGAUUAGA